rnacentral:rRNA from 1 species
UACGAAGGGUGCAAACGUUGCUCGGAAUUAUUGGGCGUAAGACGCACGUAGGCGGCUUUGCAAGUCCCAUGUGAAAGCCCACGGCUCAACCGUGGAAGUGCAUGGGAAACUGCAGAGCUUGAGUACUUAAGAGGAUCGCGGAAUUCCCGGUGUAGAGGUGAAAUUCGUAGAUAUCGGGAGGAACACCAGUGGCGAAGGCGGCGAUCUGGGAAGAUACUGACGCUGAGGUGCGAAAGCGUGGGGAGCAAACAGG